rfam:Schistosoma mattheei strain Denwood, Zambia genome assembly, scaffold: SMTD_scaffold0002111
AUCCAGCUGACGAGUCCCAAAUAGGACGAGACGCGAAUCCUAGAU